AUGAAAUUAAAGAAAUUACAAACCUUAUAUCUGGUCAGUCAACACGACUGUUAAACAUCUGGGGAUCUCCUGGAUUUGGUAAGACAUCACAGCUAUUGAAGCAGCACGCCAUCUUUUGUCUCUCAGCUACCCUGUUUAUUUUUUUAAAUUGCAGGGUAUUGGAACAGUCGAUGAAUUAUUGUCUAAAAUGUUAAGUAUUUUUAAGAGUAAUUUAGCAGAUCUUAGUCUAAGACCUAUAGACAAGGUAGUAAGUAUUUUUAGAGAAAUUGCGUCUCGAAUUUUUCUUAUAUUUGAUAACCUUGACGAUCUUCUGUCGAGUGAAAGCAGUUCCGUUAAACUUACGUGUUUAUUUGAAGAAUUAUUAGACAGUAAUGAUAACAUCAAUAUAGUUUUUACAACGAGGGAGCUUUUAGAAAAUAUGCGCGAUCAAAUAGAAGGUUUCCGAGACAUCCGAAUUCGACCCCUUCAUCCAGAUUCCUCUGUCAAAUUUGCUCGUUUACUUCUUCCUUCAUUUUCUGAAAGUGUUGUUGCAAAUGUGGCUAGAAUUUCGUCUCAUGUUCCUCUUGCAAUGAAACUCAUUGUUUCGUUAGUUGAAAAUAACACUGAUCAAUCUAUCGAUUGCCAUGCGUCAUUUUGCGACAAGUACAUGUAGUCUGGAAAAUUCUCAAGAUCUUUUUCACAUCUUAUCCAAGUCUGAAAUAUUUCUUUCUCUUAUUG